rnacentral:rRNA from 1 species
AGAGUUUGAUCAUGGCUCAGGACGAACGCUGGCGGCGUGCCUAACACAUGCAAGUCGAACGGAACUUUUUUAAAAGAUUUCUUCGGAAUGAAUUUGAUUAAGUUUAGUGGCGGACGGGUGAGUAACGCGUGAGUAACCUGCCUCUAAGAGGGGAAUAACAUUCUGAAAAGAAUGCUAAUACCGCAUAACAUAUAUUUAUCGCAUGGUAGAUAUAUCAAAGAUUUAUCGCUUAGAGAUGGACUCGCGUCCGAUUAGUUAGUUGGUGAGGUAACGGCUCACCAAGACUGCGAUCGGUAGCCGGACUGAGAGGUUGAACGGCCACAUUGGGACUGAGACACGGCCCAGACUCCUACGGGAGGCAGCAGUGGGGGAUAUUGCGCAAUGGGGGAAACCCUGACGCAGCAACGCCGCGUGAAGGAUGAAGGUCUUCGGAUUGUAAACUUCUUUUAUUAAGGACGAAGAAAGUGACGGUACUUAAUGAAUAAGCUCCGGCUAACUACGUGCCAGCAGCCGCGGUAGUACGUAGGGAGCAAGCGUUGUCCGGAUUUACUGGGUGUAAAGGGUGCGUAGGCGGCUUUGCAAGUCAGA